rnacentral:lncRNA from 1 species
UAAAAACAUAUGAAACAAUAGGAGAUAUAUCAAGUACUCCAUAAAUAUCUCUUCAAUGAAGGAAAAGUUAGUAAACCUCUUUUUAAAAGUAUUGUGAAGAUUAACUGUGAUAGAUUUGGAAACACUUUAUAAAUUCUUUUAAACUGCUAAUUGAUAUCACUUUUAGGCUAAUUGUGAUCCAGGUUAUGUUUACUACUCUUAGAGGUUAUGAAAAUAGGAAUAGUAUUUGAUCUUGAAAAAUAUAUGUAUUUCUAAAAAAUUCUUAUUUACUGUAUCCCCUCCUAGAUAUCUUCCACAGGUUUUAACAUAUCAGUUUGAAUAAGGCACAGAAUUAAAACAAUGUACUCCUUCAUGGGCCUGUUACGAGGAUUGGAUGUAUCGGCAUAUGUAAAACAGUUAAAGGAUUCCUAAUAUGCUGCAAGUCAGUGCCAUGGUUAAUUGUUAAAGUGAAAGGUCGAUCCUGGAGACCCGGGAUCGAAUCCCACAUCAGGCUCCCGGUGCAUGGAGCCUGCUUCUCCCUCCGCCUGUGUCUCUGCCUCUCUCUCUCUCUCUGUGACUAUCAUAAAUAAAUAA